GGGGAUGUAGCUCAGUGGUAGAGCGCUUGCUUUGCAUGUAAGAGGCCCUGGGUUCGAACCCCAGCAUCUCCA
rnacentral:tRNA from 1 species